UACGUAGGGGGCAAGCGUUGUUCGGAUUUACUGGGCGUAAAGGGCGCGUAGGCGGCGCUGUAAGUCACUUGUGAAAUCUCUGGGCUUAACUCGGAAUGGUCAAGUGAUACUGCAGUGCUAGAGUGCGGAAGGGGCAAUCGGAAUUCUUGGUGUAGCGGUGAAAUGCGUAGAUAUCAAGAGGAACACCUGAGGUGAAGACGGGUUGCUGGGCCGACACUGACGCUGACAGCGCGAAAGCCAGGGGAGCAAACGGG
rnacentral:rRNA from 1 species